rnacentral:rRNA from 1 species
CACGUAGGCGGGUCGUUAAGUCAGAGGUGAAAGCCUGGAGCUCAACUCCAGAACUGCCUUUGAUACUGGCGACCUCGAGUUCGAGAGAGGUUGGUGGAACUCCGAGUGUGAGGUGAAAUUCGUAGAUAUUCGGAAGAACACCAGUGGCGAAGGCGGCCAACUGGCUCGAUACUGACGCUGAGGUGCGAAAGCGUGGGGAGCAAACA